AUACGUAGGGGGCGAGCGUUGUCCGGAAUGAUUGGGCGUAAAGGGCGCGUAGGCGGCUUUGCAAGUCAGUAGUGGAAGUCCAUUUUUCAAGGAUGGAAGUGCUACAGAAACUGCGGAGCUUGAGUGCAGGAGAGGUUAUCGGGAUUCCCGGUGUAGCGGUGAAAUGCGUAGAGAUCGGGAGGAACACCAGUGGCGAAGGCGGGUAACUGGACUGCAACUGACGCUGAGGCGCGAAAGUGUGGGGAGCAAACAGGAUUAGAUACCCUGGUAGUCCACACUGUAAACGAUGAAUGCUAGGUGUAGGAGGUAUCGACCCCUUCAGUGCUGCAGCUAACGCAUUAAGCACUCCGCCUGGGGAGUACGGCCGCAAGGCUGAAACUCAAAUGAAUUGACGGGG
rnacentral:rRNA from 1 species